rnacentral:rRNA from 1 species
UUUGAUCCUGGCUCAGAACGAACGCUGGCGGCGUGGAUAAGACAUGCAAGUCGAACGAGAGAAUUGCUAGCUUGCUAAUAAUUCUCUAGUGGCGCACGGGUGAGUAACACGUGAGUAACCUGCCCCCGAGAGCGGGAUAGCCCUGGGAAACUGGGAUUAAUACCGCAUAGUAUCGAAAGAUUAAAGCAGCAAUGCGCUUGGGGAUGGGCUCGCGGCCUAUUAGUUAGUUGGUGAGGUAACGGCUCACCAAGGCGAUGACGGGUAGCCGGUCUGAGAGGAUGUCCGGCCACACUGGAACUGAGACACGGUCCAGACACCUACGGGUGGCAGCAGUCGAGAAUCAUUCACAAUGGGGGAAACCCUGAUGGUGCGACGCCGCGUGGGGGAAUGAAGGUCUUCGGAUUGUAAACCCCUGUCAUGUGGGAGCAAAUUAAAAAGAUAGUACCACAAGAGGAAGAGACGGCUAACUCUGUGCCAGCAGCCGCGGUAAUACAGAGGUCUCAAGCGUUGUUCGGAAUCACUGGGCGUAAAGCGUGCGUAGGCUGUUUCGUAAGUCGUGUGUGAAAGGCGCGGGCUCAACCCGCGGACGGCACAUGAUACUGCGAGACUAGAGUAAUGGAGGGGGAACCGGAAUUCUCGGUGUAGCAGUGAAAUGCGUAGAUAUCGAGAGGAACACUCGUGGCGAAGGCGGGUUCCUGGACAUUAACUGACGCUGAGGCACGAAGGCCAGGGGAGCGAAAGGGAUUAGAUACCCCUGUAGUCCUGGCAGUAAACGGUGCACGCUUGGUGUGCGGGGAAUCGACCCCCUGCGUGCCGGAGCUAACGCGUUAAGCGUGCCGCCUGGGGAGUACGGUCGCAAGAUUAAAACUCAAAGAAAUUGACGGGGACCCGCACAAGCGGUGGAGUAUGUGGCUUAAUUCGAUGCAACGCGAAGAACCUUACCUGGGCUUGACAUGUAAUGAACAACAUGUGAAAGCAUGCGACUCUUCGGAGGCGUUACACAGGUGCUGCAUGGCCGUCGUCAGCUCGUGUCGUGAGAUGUUGGGUUAAGUCCCGCAACGAGCGCAACCCUUAUCCUUAGUAGCCAGCAGUCCGGCUGGGCACUCUAGGGAGACUGCCAGGGAUAACCUGGAGGAAGGUGGGGAUGACGUCAAAUCAUCAUGCCCCUUAUGACUUGGGCUACGCACGUGCUACAAUGGCGUAAACAAAGUGAAGCGAGAGUGUGAGCUUAAGCAAAUCACAAAAAUAACGUCUCAGUUCGGAUUGUAGUCUGCAACUCGACUACAUGAAGCUGGAAUCGCUAGUAAUCGCAGAUCAGAAUGCUGCGGUGAAUACGUUCCCGGGUCUUGCACUCACCGCCCGUCA